rnacentral:rRNA from 1 species
UACGUAGGGUGCGAGCGUUGUCCGGAAUUAUUGGGCGUAAAGAGCUCGUAGGCGGUCUGUCGCGUCGGUCGUGAAAACCUGCAGCUUAACUGUGGGCGUGCGGUCGAUACGGGCAUGACUGGAGUUCGGCAGGGGAGACUGGAAUUCCUGGUGUAGCGGUGAAAUGCGCAGAUAUCAGGAGGAACACCGAUGGCGAAGGCAGGUCUCUGGGCAUUAACUGACGCUGAGGAGCGAAAGCGUGGGGAGCGAACAGG